UACGUAGGGUGCAAGCAUUAAUCGGAAUUAUUGGGCGUAAAGGGCGUGUAGGCGGAUGUGUAAGUCAGAUGUGAAAUUUCGGGGCUCAACCUCGAAGCUGCAUUUGAAACUACAUAUCUAGAGGGUUGACGGAGAAAACGGAAUUCCACGUGUAGCGGUGAAAUGCGUAGAUAUGUGGAAGAACACCUGUGGCGAAAGCGGUUUUCUAGUUAAUACCUGACGCUGAGGCGCGAGAGCAAGGGGAGCAAACAGG
rnacentral:rRNA from 1 species